rnacentral:misc_RNA from 1 species
ACUGAGUCUUGAAAAGGGUUGCAGCUGGCCUUCACCCAAGGCAUGUGCUCACCCUGUUCAAAUCCACUCUACACCUGUGCACUUACUGUGGGCUUUGGAUCUGUUUUUCGGUUCUGAGGGGUCAAACCUUUGGAAGCGCAAUUCGCUCCAGGCUCACGUUUUUACUACAAACACUUUUGGUAUUAGAAUGUGUAUUGCGAUGUUAAUGCAUCUUUAU